rnacentral:snoRNA from 1 species
AUCCCAUGAUGAGGAUAGGCGGCGGCAUAUUCCUGUAGCCUAUCCCGAGCUUCUGGAAUUAUCUCAUCUCUCAUCUGUGUGAAGCUGGAUAUCCUUCCAUGAAGGGC